GAGGCGGAGUUUUGGAGAAUUUUGAUGC
rnacentral:sRNA from 1 species